GAAGACGAUGACAGGUACACUUUGGAUGAAUGGCUUUGAAAUUGGCUGCAGUGCAGAGUGGGGGACAUCGUCCCGGACCAGGAUGGCUACUUCCUCUCUACGACCGUUUGCCGGAUUUUGUGCAGUGAAAACUUCGAACUCGUUCAGCUUGUUUGUCACACCACACGCGUUCCAGAAGGCAAUUUUAAAAGAGUUGCCGUUCUGGCUGACGCUGUGGGUGGAAAUAGUCUGGACUGGAUUGACGUUUUGGUUGACAGGCUAUUCAGGACUGGACUAAACAUAGAAAGCGUCAUUGGCGGAAGACAGGACCAUAUCCAAAGAGUUUGGUGAAGUGCUAUUUGUUGUUUUGCUUGUUUUAUUUGAAUUGAUAUUUAUUAAUUUGACUGUUUGAGGUGCCAAGCACCUAUGUGUUUCAAAAAUGAAAAGAGAUUUCGGGUUAAA